UACGAAGGGGGGCUAGCGUUGCUCGGAAUCACUGGGCGUAAAGGGUGCGUAGGCGGGUCUUUAAGUCAGGGGUGAAAUCCUGGAGCUCAACUCCAGAACUGCCUUUGAUACUGAAGAUCUUGAGUUCGGGAGAGGUGAGUGGAACUGCGAGUGUAGAGGUGAAAUUCGUAGAUAUUCGCAAGAACACCAGUGGCGAAGGCGGCUCACUGGCCCGAUACUGACGCUGAGGCACAAAGCGUGGG
rnacentral:rRNA from 1 species